GGGUAAAAUUAAUAAAUAUGGAUUAUAUAAUAAAAAAAAUUUUAAUAUUAAAAUGAAAUAAUGGGGGUUUGAGUAUUUUUAAUAGAAAAAAUUAUUAUUUUUAUAGUAAAAUAUUACUGUAAAGGAAUUAAAAAAUAUAUGAAAAAUAAUUAAUGAAAAAGUAAAUUUAAUUUGUUGUAUCUUGUGUAUCAGAGUUUAUUAAAUAAUAGAAAUUUAUUUAAAUAAAUCUCGAAUUUAAAAGAGUUAAUUAAUUAAAAAAGUUAAUGUUGAAUAAUUAUUUUUAAUAAUUAAUUAGAAAUGAGAUGUUAAUCGUUUUUAAAUAUAUCUAGUUUUUUUAGAAAAAAAUUUAAUUUUAAAUUUAAAUUGUUUUAUAAUUAAUUAAUUAAUUAUAAAAAUUUAAAAUUUAAUAUUUUAGGGGAUAAGCUUUAAAUUAAAAUUUUAUAAUAAAAUUAAAUUAAAAUUAAAAUUUUUAAUAUUUAUAUUGUUUAAAAAUUAUAAUUUAUUAUAAAAAAUUUUAAUUAUUAAUUAAAAUUUAAAUAAAAAUUUAAAUUUUUAUAAAGAAAUAAUUUUUAAUAAAAAAAAAAUUAGUAAUAAUGAUAAAAUUAGUAUAAUUUUUAAAUUAAAUAAAAAUUUAUUGGUAGUUAAUUUAAAGGAAUUCGGCAAAAAUUUAUAUUCACUUGUUUAUCAAAAACAUGUCUUUUUGAUAAUAAUUUAAAGUCUAAUCUGCCCACUGAUAUUUAUAUUAAAGGGCUGCAGUAUAUUGACUGUACAAAGGUAGCAUAAUCAUUAGUCUUUUAAUUGAAGACUUGUAUGAAAGAUUUGAUGAAAUAUAAACUGUCUCUAAUUUAUUAUUAGAAGUUAAUUUUUUAGUUAAAAAGCUAAAAUAAAAUUAAAAGACGAGAAGACCCUAUAGAGUUUUAUAUUUUAUUUUUUUAAUUUAAAAUAUAUAAUUAAAGUUAUAUUAAUUAAAUAAAAUAUUUUAUUGGGGUGAUAGAAAAAUUUAAUAAACUUUUUUUAAAAAAUUUACAUAAAUAAGUGGUUUGAUUGAUCCAUUUUUAAUGAUUAUAAGAAAAAAUUACCUUAGGGAUAACAGCGUAAUAUUUUUUUUUAGUACGAAUAAAAAAAAAAGUUUGCGACCUCGAUGUUGGAUUAAGAUAAAAUUUAAAUGCAAAAGUUUAAAAUUUUGAUCUGUUCGAUCAUUAAAAUCUUACAUGAUCUGAGUUCAAACCGGUGUAAGCCAGGUUGGUUUCUAUCUUUAAUAAAAUAAAAUAUUUUAGUACGAAAGGAUCAAAUAUUUAAAAUAAUUUUAUUUAAUUUGAAUAUUAAUAAUAGUAAUUAA
rnacentral:rRNA from 1 species